rfam:Paracoccus contaminans strain RKI 16-01929T=LMG 29738T=CCM 8701T=CIP 111112T, complete genome.
UGCGCGACCGGGCCCCUCUGGCGAUCUGUGCAGAUCGUGAUGUCGGUCGCAUCA